GGAUGAACGCUGGCGGCGUGCUUAACACAUGCAAGUCGAACGAAGCACUUUAUUUGAUUUCCUUCGGGACUGAUUAUUUUGUGACUGAGUGGCGGACGGGUGAGUAACGCGUGGGUAACCUGCCUUGUACAGGGGGAUAACAGUUGGAAACGGCUGCUAAUACCGCAUAAGCGCACAGCAUCGCAUGAUGCAGUGUGAAAAACUCCGGUGGUAUAAGAUGGACCCGCGUUGGAUUAGCUAGUUGGUGAGGUAACGGCCCACCAAGGCGACGAUCCAUAGCCGAGCUGAGAGGGUGACCGGCCACAUUGGGACUGAGACACGGCCCAAACUCCUACGGGAGGCAGCAGUGGGGAAUAUUGCACAAUGGGCGAAAGCCUGAUGCAGCGACGCCGCGUGAGCGAAGAAGUAUUUCGGUAUGUAAAGCUCUAUCAGCAGGGAAGAUAAUGACGGUACCUGACGAAGAAGCACCGGCUAAAUACGUG
rnacentral:rRNA from 1 species